GUGUUUUUCUAAAAUGCAGUCUGCUGGCUUAUUAUUUUUUUAAGGGCUGACAGUUAAUUAGCACCGAGGCUUAUUACAGAAGUCUCCUCUGAAGCAGACAGAUUCAAGUUCUGCUGAAGUGAUUGUCAUCAAGGGGUUGUUUGCCGUGGUGCUCACAGAUGGCAGGAAAGACAGCCCAGGAACGCAAACAGCCUGAUAAUCAAGAUAGCCUUAAAAUAUGGUCACUGCUUAAAUGUCAAAAGGAACCUUGUAUUCUGAAGAGAUGCUCAUUUUGGCCUGCAUUAUUUGUCUACUUCCAAUUGUAUGGACUUCAUAUUUUAUCUCCAGCAUUAUCUAUCAAGAAAUCUUGUGGUUUAGCCUUUUUAGGAGAGAAUAAAAAUAUGGACCAUGAUAAAAUUGCAUAGCACAAACUCUAAAGGAUUUGUGAAGAAAAUUAUCCCAUUAUUGAGAAAUGCAGUGACUAUUGAAAAAUAUCAAAUGCAAAAUAAAAGGAGUGGAGAUUGCUGUAUCAGAUAUGCAAAGGCGAAUUUAGUUCAGAAUCAUUUAAAAUAUAUGUAUUUAAUCUUCAAAAUACAUUUCAUUUCUCUCAUAUUUAUGUUGAAGAUGCUAUGUCCAUAUCCUAUCGCCAAAGUUGUCUCAGGGGCCCCAGUUGGCCUUUGUUUACAGGAACAGAAAAGUCAUUCCUGGAAUGAAGUCCCCAUGUGUCACCACACAAACGCAUGGACUGAGAUCAAACCAAGAGCCAGAGCUUGCUAAGCAAGGAAUCUACCACUGUGCUACAUUCCCAGGCAGAGUUUAAGUAUUUUUUGAAAUGUUUUCCAAAAGGUCUCUAUUAGAAUAAUUGUGAACCAUUGUGGAGCAAUGUCCCUCUCAAACCCCACAAGAAACUGUUAUUUUUCUGCAAGGGCUCAGACAGAACUGCGUUCUGCUUCUGCGGGGUUCACGCUCUCCCAGUGCAUGACCAGGCAGAGUGACUUAUGCUCAUCACCAUCUUAGAUGUUAAAUACUUAGAAGCAAGGCCAAAUAAGCAGAAACCCACAGUCUUUUUAAGGAAGCUGUAACCACAUGUCAAGACAUUGUCUUAGUGUGCUAGAGUAUCAGUCUUGUUUUAUGUCUCUCAAGUUAACACAGUCAAGAGGGGACAUGCAGUUGUGCAUGCAUAGGGAUCCUGUUUCCUGAUUUGUGUCUCAUCCUAGCUCUCUUUCUAUCAAUCAUAUUGGUAUGUUACAUGUUAUAACAGUCAUUGGAAUUGGGGGGUUAUAUCCAAAGUAAAGACAGUGUUAUUAUCAAAUAUGAGAAAAAUUGAAGAUGUAACUUUUUAGCCAUGCCAUAUGUUAGCACCACAAAUUAACUGAUAUUUCCUCAAUCCAGAGCCACACAGAGGGGAAAAUACACAUAACGCUGCCUGUAAAGCAAGUUUUGCCACCAUGGUGCCCUCUGAUUUCCUAACAUUUGCAUUUUAAAGAGGUCUUAGGGUUCCAAGACAGAAGAGCUAAUGAACGUAUUACAGAAGAAGAGAGAUUUCAGUCAGCCUAGGAGAAGUGGAGAGACCAGAAUAUGAACAAAGCUUGGACUCACAAAUGUGCUCUGUUUCAAGUGGAAUACCCAGCCAUCUAAAGAAGAAUGUCUGCAUCAAUGCAUUCAGAAGGCAGGAGGCAACAUCACUGCUGGAGACGCUCGUCGGGCAGAACUCCACUUGGGGAUGCCAACUGAAUAGAAAUUAAAUGAACUGCUCGACCACAAGUGCCUGAGGAAUUGCAGAGAAGAUGAGAACCUGUGGAUUGCUUCCAGGCUAAUAUGGUUUGACCAGCCAAGACUCCCUGAAAGGUCUCUGAUGAUACCUUGGCCCAGAUCAUCCAACAUCCAAAAUCAGCUUCAAGGCAACUGGCUCAGAGAAUACAGCCUUACAGACUACUCCUGUCAGGACUUGACCAUAAUCCUAAAAUAUUCUUUGUGUUUCCAUAAGAUUACCAGUACCCUCUAUCAGCAAGAAGUAGCUUAAAAAACUACGCCCACAUUCCCCAAGAAUGGAUUAUGGAUGUUUGCCUUUGUUUAGGUUGUGGGUUACAAAUUGUUAUUGGUCAUAGUCAAUCUCUUUCUAAAAAAGAAAGGAGGAUAUGAUAUAGAAAUAUAUGAUAGGAUGAAAGGGUAGAUUAUUGAACCUACUUUUAAAGAGCAAAACUUAUUUGAAAUGUUUUACAUUGCUAUGUAGUUUAUUGAUACAAAUUGAAAGUUAAUUUUGUUAUAUUGUAUGUAUAUUUCUACUCUUGUUUAAGGUGUUAUGUUUGUGCAGCUCAUUUAAAUUGUAAAGGAUAAUUAAGAAAUACAGAUUAAUAAUUAGUCUUCUAUGAUAGUCAAACUUAUAGUCAUGCUAAGUUUUCUAGGUAUACAUAGAUAUAAUUCAAUUAGGUAGGUAAUCUUCAAACACUUCAAAGGCCCACAGAAUAUGGCAUUUAAAAUGUGUUAAAACUUAGACUUUCUGAACAAUGAGAUACUGUGCUUUGAAGCACCAAUUUACUUCAAAGAGAAAGAUGGGCAUGGAAGAUACUCCAUAUGGAGUUUAUCUUCUUCUUGGCAAAAAUAGCCAUUUGGGCAAGGAAUUGUUCUUGCCUGGACUGCUUGACAAAAUGUUGUACCAACUGGACAUGCAGGACCCAUAGGAAGGUGACCACUGAACUUUGCAAGGCAAGAUAGUCAUUCAGGUUCCUGCUUUGCAGAAGAGACUGCCAGACAUUCUACGGGACACAGAGAAAAGUGACUGAGAGACUUUAGGCCUAUGUGCUAAAGAUGGAUGCCCCAAUGAUGCAGAAGAAUUUUGGAUGACUGUCCAGGCAGGCAGCUGUCUCUGUCAUUCUAUAUAUAUAUAUUUUUGUUUUUUUUUGGUUUUUCGAGACAGGGUUUCUCUGUGUAGCUUUGCGCCUUUCCUGGAACUCGCUUUGGAGACCAGGCUGGCCUCGAACUCACAGAGAUCCGCCCGGCUCUGCCUCCCGAGUGCUGGGAUUAAAGGCGUGCGCCACCACCGCCCGGCCAUUCUAUAUUUUUGAAAGUUGCUUACAGUACAUUUCUUGUUUACUUAGGUAAUAUUAUAUCCUUCUGAGGUCUUUGAUGUAGUUGAAGACUAGAUAGUUCUAAUUAUGGUUUCCCUUGGUUAUGAAAAGAGAUAAGGUAGAUAUGAAAUCUUAGACUCACAAAUAUAGGAUAGAUAGGAUAUCUUCUUUAAUUUUGCUAAAUACAAAUAGACUAGAUAUUGUAACUAUAAUUCUUGCUUGACAACUGUUUUGUUAUUAUGCAAUUUUAAUAGGUUAAAGUUAAAAUCUUCCUUUUGUUUAGACAGAAAAGGGGAAGUGAUGGGGGAAUGUCUUUCUGUAUGCUGGGAAUAUGUGUUGCUGUGACUGGUUGAUAAAUAAAGCUAUUUGGCCUAUGGCAAGGCAGCUUGGAGGCAGGUAGGAAAUUCAAAGAGAGAGACAGGAAAAAGGUGAGGAGACACCAGCUAUCUCUCCAAGGAGCAACAUGUAAUAGGACACAGGUAAAGCCAUGGAAUAUGUGGCAAUACAUAGAUUCAUAGUUAUGGGAUAAUUUAAAAUAUAAGAACUAGCUAGCAAAAAGCUUGAGCCAUGGCCAUGCAGUUAUAAUUAAUAUAAGCCUCCUUUUGUUUACUUGGGGGACACGAGUGGGAGAGAUUUGUCCUGGCAGGCUGGGACACAGGAAAUCUUCUGGCUACAGAGAGCAAUGAAAGAGAUAUCUUGAGGGAGCCAUUAUGGGGUUAGGGAGAAACCUGGAGCUAGGGAAAGUUCCAGGAACCCACAAGGAUGACCCCAGCUAAGACACCUAGCAAUAGCAGAGAGGGUGUCUGAACUGGCUUUUUCCUGUAAUCAGAUUGGUAACUACCCUAAUUGUCAUCAUAGAACCUUCAUCCAGUAACUGAUGGAAGCCAAUACAGAGAUCUAUAGCUAAACACUGGGCUGAGCUCCUGGAGUCCAGUUGAAGAUAGGGAGGAGGGAUUACAUGAGCAAAGGGUGUAUAAGAUCAUGAUGGGGAACACCAUAGAGACAGCUAACCCAAGCUAGUGGGACCUCACAGACUCUGGUCUGACAGCUGGGGAACCUGCAUGGGACCAAAGUAAGCCCCCUGAAUGUGGGUGACAGUUGUGUGGAUUGAUAUGUUUGUGGGGCCCCUGGCAGUGGAACCAGGAUUUAUCCCUGGUGCAUGAACUGACUUUUGUUGGAGCCCAUUCCCUAUGGUGGGAUAUCUUGCUCAGCCUUGAUGCAGGGGGAAGGGGGCUUGGUCCUGCCUAAACUUGGUAUGCCAGACUUUGUU